GCCAGACUCCUACGGGAGGCAGCAGUGGGGAAUAUUGCACAAUGGGGGAAACCCUGAUGCAGCGACGCCGCGUGGGCGACGAAGCGCUCCGGCGCGUAAAGCCCCGUCAGCAGGGAAGAAGAUGACGGUACCUGACUAAGAAGCCCCGGCUAACUACGUGCCAGCAGCCGCGGUAAUACGUAGGGGGCAAGCGUUAUCCGGAUUUACUGGGUGUAAAGGGAGCGUAGACGGCGAUGCAAGCCAGAUGUGAAAGCCCGGGGCUCAACCCCGGGACUGCAUUUGGAACUGUGUGGCUGGAGUGUCGGAGAGGCAGGCGGAAUUCCUAGUGUAGCGGUGAAAUGCGUAGAUAUUAGGAGGAACACCAGUGGCGAAGGCGGCCUGCUGGACGAUGACUGACGUUGAGGCUCGAAAGCGUGGGGAGCAAACAGGAUUAGAUACCCUAGUA
rnacentral:rRNA from 1 species